CUAAGUGACAAAGCGUACAAGGUGGAUGCCUUGGCAAUCAGAGGCGAAGAAGGACGUGCUAAUCUGCGAAAAGCUUGGAUGAGUCGAUAAGAGGCGUUUAAUCCAAGAUGUCCGAAUGGGGAAACCCAGUAGAUGAAGAAUCUACUAUCACUUACUGAAUUCAUAGGUAAGUGAGGCGAACCGGGAGAACUGAAACAUCUAAGUACCCCGAGGAAAAGAAAUCAACCGAGAUUUUGUGAGUAGCGGCGAGCGAAAGCGAAAGAGCCUGUUAGUGAUAGCGAUAGAGACAGAGGAACAAGCUGGGAAGCUUGGCGACACAGGGUGAUAGCCCCGUACUCGAAGUCCAGGUCGUGGUACUAAGCUAACGAGAAGUAGGGCGGGACACGUGAUAUCCUGUUUGAAGAUGGGGGGACCAUCCUCCAAGGCUAAAUACUCCUGAUUGACCGAUAGUGAACCAGUACUGUGAAGGAAAGGCGAAAAGAACCCCGGUGAGGGGAGUGAAAUAGAACCUGAAACCUUGUACGUACAAGCAGUGGGAGCCCGCAAGGGUGACUGCGUACCUUUUGUAUAAUGGGUCAGCGACUUAUAUUUUGUAGCGAGGUUAACCGAAUAGGGGAGCCGAAGGGAAACCGAGUCUUAACUGGGCGUUGAGUUGCAAGGUAUAGACCCGAAACCCGGUGAUCUAGCCAUGGGCAGGUUGAAGGUUGGGUAACACUAACUGGAGGACCGAACCGACUAAUGUUGAAAAAUUAGCGGAUGACUUGUGGCUGGGGGUGAAAGGCCAAUCAAACCGGGAGAUAGCUGGUUCUCCCCGAAAUCUAUUUAGGUAGAGCCUUGAGCGGACACCUUCGGGGGUAGAGCACUGUUUCGGCUAGGGGUCCAUCCCGGAUUACCAACCCGAUGCAAACUACGAAUACCGAAGAGUGAUACUCAGGAGACACACGGCGGGUGCUAACGUCCGUCGUGGAGAGGGAAACAACCCAGACCGCCAGCUAAGGUCCCAAAGUCUAUAUUAAGUGGGAAACGAAGUGGGAAGGCUUAGACAGCUAGGAUGUUGGCUUAGAAGCAGCCAUCAUUUAAAGAAAGCGUAAUAGCUCACUAGUCGAGUCGGCCUGCGCGGAAGAUGUAACGGGGCUCAAAUAUAGCACCGAAGCUGCGGCAUCAGACGUAAGUCUGUUGGGUAGGGGAGCGUUGUGUAAGCGGAUGAAGAUGGUUCGAGAGGGCUGUUGGACGUAUCACAAGUGCGAAUGCUGACAUAAGUAACGAUAAAACGGGUGAAAAACCCGUUCGCCGGAAGACCAAGGGUUCCUGUCCAACGUUAAUCGGGGCAGGGUGAGUCGGCCCCUAAGGCGAGGCUGAAAAGCGUAGUCGAUGGGAAACGGGUUAAUAUUCCCGUACUUGGUAAAGCUGCGAUGUGGGGACGGAGCAGGUUAGGUUAGCGUACUGUUGGAUAUGUACGUUUAAGUUGGUAGGUGGGAAGUUUAGGCAAAUCCGGACUUCCUUAACACUGAGAGAUGAUGACGAGGCUCUACGGAGCUGAAGUAACUGAUACCACACUUCCAGGAAAAGCCACUAAGCGACAGGCUUUACUAAACCGUACUGAAAACCGACACAGGUGGUCAGGUAGAGAAUACUCAGGCGCUUGAGAGAACUCGGGUGAAGGAACUAGGCAAAAUAGCACCGUAACUUCGGGAGAAGGUGCGCCGGCGUAGAUUGUAAGGGCUUGCCCCUGAAGGUUGAACCGGUCGAAGAUACCAGCUGGCUGCAACUGUUUAUUAAAAACACAGCACUCUGCAAACACGAAAGUGGACGUAUAGGGUGUGACGCCUGCCCGGUGCUGGAAGGUUAAUUGAAGAUGUGCAAGCAUCGGAUCGAAGCCCCAGUAAACGGCGGCCGUAACUAUAACGGUCCUAAGGUAGCGAAAUUCCUUGUCGGGUAAGUUCCGACCUGCACGAAUGGCAUAAUGAUGGCCAGGCUGUCUCCACCCGAGACUCAGUGAAAUUGAAAUCGCCGUGAAGAUGCGGUGUACCCGCGGCUAGACGGAAAGACCCCGUGAACCUUUACUAUAGCUUGACACUGAACAUUGAAUUUUGAUGUGUAGGAUAGGUGGGAGACUUAGAAGUAGUCACGCCAGUGAUUAUGGAGUCGUCCUUGAAAUACCACCCUUUAACGUUUGAUGUUCUAACGAAGAUUGCGAAACGCGGUCUCGGACAGUGUCUGGUGGGUAGUUUGACUGGGGCGGUCUCCUCCCAAAGCGUAACGGAGGAGCACGAAGGUUUGCUAAUCACGGUCGGACAUCGUGAGGUUAGUGCAAUGGUAUAAGCAAGCUUAACUGCGAGACAGACAAGUCGAGCAGGUACGAAAGUAGGUCAUAGUGAUCCGGUGGUUCUG
rnacentral:rRNA from 1 species